GUCCAUUUGAUGAUGUAAAUGGUCUGGCCUGCUCACUGAUAAGUGUAUUUAAGAGCCGCGGUAUUUUGACCGUGCAAAGGUAGCAUAAUCAUUAGAGGUUUAAUUGGAAUCUGGUAUGAAGGGUCGGACAAAGGAGAGACUGUCUUUGGAUUAUAAGUUGAAAUUUACUUUUAAGUGAAAAGGCUUAAAUACUUCAAAGGGACGAUAAGACCCUAUAAAGCUUUAUAAAUCAUUUUAAAUUUGAUUGAUUUGUUAAUAAAAAUUAAAUUUGAAUAUUUUAUUUUAUUGGGGCGAUGUGAGUAUAAUUUUUAUUAACUGUUUAAAAAGAAUACAAGUAUGGGUGUAUCUGAUUAGUGAAUGAUCCUUUUUAGAGAUUAAAAGACUAAGUUACUUUAGGGAUAACAGCGUUAUUUCUUUUGAGAGUUCAUAUCGAAAAAGAAGAUUGCGACCUCGAUGUUGAAUUAAAAUAUCUAUAUAAUGCAGCAGUUAUAAGAGAAGGUCUGUUCGACCUUUAAAUUUUU
rnacentral:rRNA from 1 species